UACGGGGGGGGCAAGCGUUGUUCGGAAUUACUGGGCGUAAAGGGCUCGUAGGUGGCCAACUAAGUCAGACGUGAAAUCCCUCGGCUUAACCGGGGAACUGCGUCUGAUACUGGCAGGCUUGAAUCCGGGAGAGGGAUGUGGAAUUCCAGGUGUAGCGGUGAAAUGCGUAGAUAUCAUCAGGAAUACCGGAGGCGAAGGCGGCUCACUGGGUCUCUUCUGACGCUGAGGAACGAAAGCUAGGGGAGCAAACGGG
rnacentral:rRNA from 1 species